UACGGGGGGGGCAAGCGUUGUUCGGAAUUACUGGGCGUAAAGGGCUCGUAGGUGGCCAACUAAGUCAGACGUGAAAUCCCUCGGCUUAACCGGGGAACUGCGUCUGAUACUGGAUGGCUAGAGAUUGGGAGAGGGGUGCGGAAUUCCAGGUGUAGCGGUGAAAUGCGUAGAUAUCUGGAGGAACACCGGUGGCGAAGGCGGCAUCCUGGACCAACACUGACGCUGAGGAGCGAAAGCCAGGGGAGCAAACGGG
rnacentral:rRNA from 1 species